rnacentral:rRNA from 1 species
UACGUAGGGAGCUAGCGUUGUCCGGAAUCAUUGGGCGUAAAGCGCGCGUAGGCGGCCCGGUAAGUCCGCUGUGAAAGUCAAAGGCUCAACCUUUGAAUGUCAGCGGAUACUGCCGGGCUAGAGUCCGGAAGAGGCGAGUCGAACUCCUGGUGUAGCGGUGGAAUGCGCAGAUAUCAGGAAGAACACCAACGGCGAAGGCAGCUCGCUGGGACGGAACUGACGCUAAGGCGCGAAAGCGUGGGGAGCGAACAGG